UACGUAGGGUGCGAGCGUUGUCCGGAUUUAUUGGGCGUACAGGGCUCGUAGGCGGUUUGUCGCGUCGGAAGUGAAAGCCCACUGCUUAACGGUGGGUCUGCUUUCGGGACGGGCAGACUGGAGUGUGGCAGGGGAGACUGGAAUUCCUGGUGUAGCGGUGGAAUGCGCAGAUAUCAGGAGGAACACCGGUGGCGAAGGCGGGUCUCUGGGCCAUCACUGACGCUGAGGAGCGAAAGCGUGGGGAGCGAACAGG
rnacentral:rRNA from 1 species